UACGAAGGGGGCUAGCGUUGCUCGGAAUCACUGGGCGUAAAGCGCACGUAGGCGGAUUGCUAAGUCAGGGGUGAAAUCCUGGAGCUCAACUCCAGAACUGCCUUUGAUACUGGCGACCUUGAGUCCGGGAGAGGUGAGUGGAACUGCGAGUGUAGAGGUGAAAUUCGUAGAUAUUCGCAAGAACACCAGUGGCGAAGGCGGCUCACUGGCCCGGUACUGACGCUGAGGUGGCGAAA
rnacentral:rRNA from 1 species